GACGAACCGUACGAACGUUAUUCGGAAUCACUGGGCUUAAAGGGUGCGUAGGCUGUGCGGAAAGUUGGGUGUGAAAUCCCUCGGCUCAACCGAGGAACCGCGCCCAAAACUACCGUGCUGGAGGAAGACAGAGGUGAGCGGAACUUAGGGUGGAGCGGUGAAAUGCGUUGAUAUCCUAAGGAACACCGGUGGCGAAAGCGGCUCACUGGGUCUUUUCUGACGCUGAUGCACGAAAGCUAGGGUAGCGAACGGGAUUAGAAACCCCGGUAGUCC
rnacentral:rRNA from 1 species